rnacentral:miRNA from 1 species
UCGCACCAGGCUUCAUUCC